rnacentral:rRNA from 1 species
AUACGGAGGGUGCAAGCGUUAAUCGGAAUUACUGGGCGUAAAGAGUACGUAGGUGGUUUGUUAAGUCAGAUGUGAAAGCCCCGGGCUCAACCUGGGAACUGCAUUUGAAACUGGCAAGCUAGAGUAUGGUAGAGGGGGGUAGAAUUUCUAGUGUAGCGGUGAAAUGCGUAGAUAUUAGAAGGAAUACCAGUGGCGAAGGCGGCCCCCUGGACCAAUACUGACACUGAGGUACGAAAGCGUGGGUAGCGAACAGGAGUAGAAACCCUAGUAGUCC